AACGAACGCUGGCGGCAUGCCUAACACAUGCCAGUCGAACGAGACCUCCGGGUUCAGUGGCGCAGGGGUGCGUAACGCGUGGGAUACUGCACUUAGGCUCGGAAUAACUCCCCGAAAGGGGCGCUAAAACCGGGUAAUAUCUUCGGACCAAAGUGUUAUCGCCAUUGGAUGGGCCCGAGUCGGCUUAGCUUGUUGGUAGGGUAAAAGCCUAUCAAGGCGACGAUCCAUAGCUGGUCAGAGAGGAUGAGAAGCCACACUGGGACUGGGACACGGCCCAGAAUCUUGCGGGAGGCAGGAGAGGGGAAUAUUGGACAAUGGGCUGAAGCCUGAACCAGCAAGGCCGCGUAAGUGAUGAAGGCCUGAGAGAAGUAAAGCUCUCUUACCCGGGAGGAUAAUGACGGUACCGGAAGAAUAAGCACCGGCUAACUACGUG
rnacentral:rRNA from 1 species